rnacentral:rRNA from 1 species
CCUACGGGAGGCAGCAGUGGGGAAUAUUGCACAAUGGGGGAAACCCUGAUGCAGCGACGCCGCGUGAGUGAAGAAGUAAUUCGGUAUGUAAAGCUCUAUCAGCAGGGAAGAAAAUGACGGUACCUGAGUAAGAAGCCCCGGCUAACUACGUGCCAGCAGCCGCGGUAAUACGUAGGGGGCAAGCGUUAUCCGGAUUUACUGGGUGUAAAGGGAGCGUAGACGGCAGUGCAAGUCUGGAGUGAAAGGCGGGGGCUCAACCCCCGGACUGCUCUGGAAACUGUACGGCUGGAGUGCAGGAGAGGUAAGUGGAAUUCGUAGUGUAGCGGUGAAAUGCGUAGAUAUUAGGAGGAACACCAGUGGCGAAGGCGGCUUACUGGACUGUAACUGACGUUGAGGCUCGAAAGCGUGGGGAGCAAACAGGAUUAGAUACCCCGGUAGUC